AUUUAAUUUAAUUCCUACAAUGUUAAUGCACUGAAUCCCAUUAGAACUCUGCAAUUAUGCACGCUUGGGAUAGAGUAGUAUUGGGAUGGGUGACCUCUUAGGAAGUCCUAGUGUUUUACAUU
rnacentral:rRNA from 1 species